rnacentral:rRNA from 1 species
UUUUGACCUGAACUCAGUCGUGAGCACCCGCUGAA